GCAUGGUACAUAUUUUUUUCCUGAUACAUACUUACAACGGUCAUAACAUACAGGCCAGUUGGGGUGCUAGUGCUACAAUUGUACUGACGUAAAGGAUGAUCUCUGCAACAACCCUGAAAUGUUGAAAGUUGUAUGGCAACUGAUUCUGUAAGUUUUAGAACGGUUUUAUUAUAAAUAAAAAUUAAACCCUUG